rnacentral:rRNA from 1 species
AGUGGCGCACGGGUGAGUAACGCGUGGAUAAUCUGCCUGGAAACGGGAUAACAUCUCGAAAGGGGUGCUAAUACCGGAUAAGCUCACCUUCGGAAAAGGUGCGUUUCAGGAUGAGUUCACGUCCUAUUAGCUAGUUGGCAGGUUAAAGGCCUACCAAGGCAACGAUGGGUAGCUGGUCUGAGAGGAUGAUCAGCCACACUGGAAUUGAGACACGGUCCAGACUCCUACGGGAGGCAGCAGUGGGGAAUUUUGCGCAAUGGGGGAAACCUUGACGCAGCGACGCCGUGUGAGUGACGAAGGCCUUCGGGUCGUAAAGCUCUGUCAGAGGGGAAGAAUGACGGUACCCUCAAAGGAAGCACCGGCUGACUCCGUGCCAGCAGCCGCGGUAAUACGGAGGGUGCGAGCGUUGUUCGGAAUUAUUGGGCGUAAAGCGCGUGCAGGCGGCUUGUCAGGUCCGAUGUGAAAGCCCCGGGCUCAACCCGGGAAGCGCAUUGGAAAC